rnacentral:lncRNA from 10 species
GAAAAUGAAAUUCACCCAUCAGGCCACACCUCAAAGCUAGGACCUUCAGUAUUACGUCAAAUAACAGUGGUGAAAGAGGGCAUCCUUGUCGUGUUCCACAUUUUAAUGGAAGGGCUUUCAGGUUUUCCUCCAUUUGUUGUGAUACUAGCUGUGGGUCUGUCAUAGAUGGCUUUCAUUAUGUUGAGUAAGCUAAAGCAAUUACUGAAUUUGGCUUGGAAUGUUUCUUGGAAGAUCAUCCAGGGAGCUGGCUUGGAUCAGAAAGUAGAAGAGAUGGACUAAAUAUGGAGCCAUGCCGCAAGUGUCAUUUGCAUGAAAAGGAUUAUCUUUGUAGAAAAGGCUAAAAGAAGAUAUUCUUUAUUGUUAAAAACAACAACAACAACAACAAAACCUGAAGUUGCACACUCUCCCUGGCUGUGAGAAAGUAAAGCUCAAACACACUGAAAACCCUGGAUCAUAAGGAAAUGUUCUGUUGGUUUUGGCUCUUCCAUCAUACAAAUCCCUGGAAACAUGCUUGUCUGGGGAAUAAAGUCAUCUGCUUUAAAAAUAAAGAAAACCAGAAUAAUGUAAUUCUUGUUAUUUACAGGGAUUAUGUUCUAUACAAUCACCUCAGCUAUUGCUCUGAGGGGAAUUAACAAAACCUCAGCUAUUGCUCCUAGGGGAAAUAAAUACAGGGUUACAGUCCUGCAAACCUUUCACAGCAGCAUUUCAUCAACUUAAAUACAAUUUGCAUUCACAUUAUAUGAGUUCCUUUGCCAAUAUCCUUGUAAAACAAGCUGGUUUCAUCAGUGUUGAAAAACAACUCGUCCAUGUA